GACGAACGCUGGCGGCGUGCCUAAUACAUGCCAGUCGAACGCAUCUUCUUUCACCGUAGCUUGCUAUAAGGAAAGAAUAUGAGCGGCGCACGGGUGAGUAACACGUGGGUAACCUGCCCAUCAGCGAGGGAUAACACCUGGACACAGGUGCUAAUACCGCCUAAAUCUAUUUACCGCAUGGUAGAUGGGUGUAAGGCGCUUUUGCGUCACUGAUGGAUGGACCCGCGGCGCAUUAGCUAGUUGGUGGGGUCACGGCCUACCGAGGCUGCGAUGCAUAGCCGACCAGAGAGGGGGAGCUGCCACGCUGGGACGGGAGCACGGCCCAGACUCCUGCGGGAGGCACCAGGAGGAGAUCUUCGGCGAUGGAAGCAAGUCGGACCGUGCGACGCCGCGGGAGAGAAGGAGGGUUUCAGGUCGUGAAACUCAGGUGUGAGAGAAGAAUGAAAAUGAGUGUGGAAAGUGCAGCCCUUGACGGUACCGAAACAAAAAGCCACGGCUAACUUCGUG
rnacentral:rRNA from 1 species